UACGAAGGGGGCUAGCGUUGCUCGGAAUCACUGGGCGUAAAGCGCACGUAGGCGGACUCUUAAGUCGGUGGUGAAAUCCUGGAGCUCAACUCCAGAACUGCCUUCGAUACUGAGAGUCUCGAGUCCGGGAGAGGUGAGUGGAACUGCGAGUGUAGAGGUGAAAUUCGUAGAUAUUCGCAAGAACACCAGUGGCGAAGGCGGCUCACUGGCCCGGUACUGACGCUGAGGUGCGAAAGCGUGGGGAGCAAACGGGG
rnacentral:rRNA from 1 species